UGUGUGAGUUGAGGCCAAGUCCAGCCUCUCUGCGCUUGUUCAUAAACAGGAAGCAGAACACAGCACCCUGUUUUUCUCUGUCUCUUCGCUUUACAAGCUGAGGCCUGCCCUUGGUAACCUUGUCUGGUUAUACAACCCAUGACAAAACAGACUUCUGGCUCCACACUUCCUUUUGGGGAGAAAAACACCAGCUGACCCUUGGGUUUCAUCCCAUCCCCCUAGAGCUGGGCCCAGUCACACACCAGGUGUGACCUUCAGACCAGGCAAACCCAGCCGGGACACGUAGGCUGCUGUCACCCGGCCCCACCCCCAUCAGGAAGUUUGGGGCCUAGCCCCGCUCGGCUCAUCACGCAUACGCGUCCUCAGCCAAUCCCUCCCUGUUGCUGGGGCCCGUUCCCGGUCCCCAUUGGUGCCAGCCUUGAACCAACCAUCCCCGGUAACCUGCAAAGGACGGAUCUGUGCGCGGAACGAACUGCGAAAGGAAUCUAGUGAGUCAGGAGACUUCCAGCACGUUCGAGCACUUCCCCAUUCUAGGUUAACCCUUGGCCAGGGCGAGCCCUCAAGCCUCCCCUUCUCCCUCCUUUACCCCUGAAACCAAGGCUGUUUGGCUCUGAACCUUCUAGACUGGAAAGUGCUGACACCACCAAGCUGAUGACUCAGCCAACAAACAGAAAUCACGAGGCUGAAGCAAAGCACAGCCAAAUAUAGCCUGGUGGCUCUGAAGGCCAGCGUCACUUUAGAUCCAGCCUCACGGCUUUGUCCCCUGCCAAACGUCUGUCUGAAAUCUAGAAAGAAUUGACCUACACAGAAAUCUGUCUCAGAAACCACCGGGGUGUCCCAAACCCAGAGAAUGACAUUUUAAUUUCUCAGUGGCAUAUGACUUCAUUCAUGGAAAUCACAGAAAUUAAAAUCUGUUUCGAAUGAUACCUCUCA